UACGUAGGUGACAAGCGUUGUCCGGAUUUACUGGGCGUAAAGAGCGCGCAGGCGGUCGAUCAAGUCGAGUGUGAAAGCCCCCGGCUCAACUGGGGAGGGUCAUUCGAUACUGAUCGACUCGAAGGCAGGAGAGGGUAGUGAAAUUCCCGGUGUAGUGGUGAAAUGCGUAGAUAUCGGGAGGAACACCAGUGGCGAAGGCGACUACCUGGCCUGUUCUUGACGCUGAGGCGCGAAAGCUAGGGGAGCAAACGGG
rnacentral:rRNA from 1 species